rnacentral:rRNA from 1 species
CAGUAGCCGCGGUAAUACGAAGGGUGCAAGCGUUACUCGGAAUUACUGGGCGUAAAGCGUGUGUAGGUGGUUGUUUAAGUCUGUCGUGAAAGCCCUGGGCUCAACCUGGGAAUUGCGAUGGAUACUGGGCGACUAGAGUGCGGUAGAGGAUAGUGGAAUUUCCGGUGUAGCAGUGAAAUGCGUAGAGAUCGGAAGGAACAUCUGUGGCGAAGGCGACUAUCUGGGCCAACACUGACACUGAGACACGAAAGCGUGGGGAGCAAACAGGAUUAGAUACCCGGGUAGUCCCUGUCUCUUAUAC